rnacentral:rRNA from 1 species
UACGUAGGGGCUAGCGUUAUCAGGAAUUACUGGGCGUAAAGGGUGCGUAGGCGGUCUUUCAAGCCAGAAGUGAAAGGCUACGGCUCAACCGUAGUAAGCUUUUGGAACUGUAAGACUUGAGUGCAGAAGAGGGAAGUGGAAUUCCAUGUGUAGCGGUGAAAUGCGUAGAGAUAUGGAGGAACACCAGUGGCGAAGGCGGCUUCCUGGUCUGUAACUGACACUGAGGCGCGAAAGCGUGGGGAGCAAACAGGAUUAGAUACCCUGUAGU